CAGACAAAAGCAAAGCCCAAUACAACCUACAUUUGUGAAACAAAAUCAUGGUUCUAUUGCCAGGUUGCAUUUGAAAUGCGAAAUAGAUAAAGUGAAAUCUUAGAGCCAACAGUCAACAGAAGCAUAUGAAAAUGACAGUAGCGUCAGCCAUUCAUAAUUGCAUACCUCUAGGAGCAAUUCAAGCAAUACUCACAUGGAAGUGCCUAGAAAUUUUUCUCCAUACACGAGGCAUCUACACUCCAUGAGAAUAGUCAC
rnacentral:misc_RNA from 1 species